AUAUAAUACUCAAAGAGAAUGAAUGUAAAAUGCAAAGGAGGCAGAAGAGGAAAAUUCAAUUUUGUCAAUGGAAGAUUUUUGCAUUAAAUAUGGUGGAAAUGCCCUACUGCCUCUAUUUCCAAUUUUUCUUUUCAAAGGUUUGAUGCAGAUGGUUACAUAUUGAAUAAGCAUUUAAGGGUUUGUGUAACACCCAUUACUUUUCAACG
rnacentral:misc_RNA from 1 species